rfam:Trichobilharzia regenti genome assembly, scaffold: TRE_scaffold0009761
GUACUGCUGAAGAGUCCCAAACUGGGACGUAAGUAACAGCUGUCCAGUAC